AGAGUUUGAUCAUGGCUCAGAACGAACGCUGGCGGCGUGCCUAAUACAUGCAAGUCGAACGAGAAAGUGUAGCAAUACAUUAGUAAAGUGGCAGACGGGUGAGUAAUACAUAGGUAAUUUACCUCCAAGAUGGGGAUAACCUCCCGAAAGGAGGGCUAAUACCGAAUGAGACCACAGUAACUACGGUUACAGCGGUCAAAGGUGACCUCUAUUUAUAAGUUAUCGCUUGGAGAUGAGCUUAUGCACCAUCAGCUAGUUGGUAAGGUAACGGCUUACCAAGGCUUUGACGGUUAGCUGAUCUGAGAGGUUGAUCAGCCACACUGGAACUGAGACACGGUCCAGACUCCUACGGGAGGCAGCAGUAGGGAAUAUUGCGCAAUGGAGGAAACUCUGACGCAGCGACGCCGCGUGGGGGAUGAAGGCUUUCGGGUCGUAAACCCCUGUCGGAAGGGAAGAAACGCACAUUGGCUAAUAUCCAAUGUGUUUGACGGUACCUUUAAAGGAAGCACCGGCUAACUACGUGCCAGCAGCCGCGGUAAUACGUUGGGUGCUAGCGUUGUUCGGAAUCAUUGGGCGUAAAGCGCGUGUAGGUGGUUAGUUAAGUCGGGUGUGAAAUCCCUGGGCUCAACCGAGGAAGUGCAUUCGAAACUAACUAGCUGGAAGAUGGUAGAGGAAGGUGGAAUUCCUAGUGUAGAGGUGAAAUUCGUAGAUAUUAGGAGGAAUACCGGUGGCGAAGGCGGCCUUCUGGACCAUUCUUGACACUGAGACGCGAAAGCGUGGGUAGCAAACAGGAUUAGAUACCCUAGUAGUCC
rnacentral:rRNA from 1 species